rnacentral:rRNA from 1 species
UACGAAGGGGGCUAGCGUUGUUCGGAAUCACUGGGCGUAAAGCGCGCGUAGGUGGAUGUGCAAGUCAGAGGUGAAAUCCCGGGGCUUAACCCUGGAACUGCCUUUGAAACUGCACAUCUGGAGUGUCGGAGGGGAUAGUGGAAUUCCUAGUGUAGAGGUGAAAUUCGUAGAGACUAGGAGGAACACCAGUGGCGAAGGCGACUAUCUGGACGACAACUGACACUGAGGUGCGAAAGCGUGGGGAGCAAACAGG